GCCCGGAUGGCGGAACUGGUAGACGCGCUGGUCUCAAACACCAGUGGUAGCAAUACCGUGCCGGUUCGACCCCGGCUCCGGGUACUA
rnacentral:tRNA from 1 species